AACGUAGGAGACAAACGUUAUCCGGAGUUACUGGGCGUAAAGGGCGUGUAGGUGGUAUCGUAAGUCUGGCGUGAAAUUUCUCGGCUUAACCGAGGCAGGUCGUCGGAUACUGCGAGGCUAGAGGACGGUAGAGGCGUGUGGAAUUCCGGGUGUAGUGGUGAAAUUCGUAGAUAUCGGGAGGAACACCAGUGGCGAAGGCGGCUCACUGGUCUGGUACUGACGCUGAGGUGCGAAAGCGUGGGGAGCAAACAGGG
rnacentral:rRNA from 1 species